rnacentral:rRNA from 1 species
AUUGAACGCUGGCGGCAGGCCUAACACAUGCAAGUCGAACGGUAACAGGAAGCAGCUUGCUGCUUCGCUGUCGAGUGGCGGACGGGUGAGUAAUGUCUGGGAAACUGCCUGAUGGAGGGGGAUAACUACGGGAAACGGUAGCUAAUACCGCAUAACGUCGCAAGACCAAAGCGGGGGACCUUCGGGCCUCUUGCCAUCGGAUGUGCCCAGCUGGGAUUAGCUAGUAGGUGGGGUAACGGCUCACCUAGGCGACGAUCCCUAGCGGGUCUGAGAGGAUGACCCGCCACACUGGAACUGAGACACGGUCCAGACUCCUACGGGCGGCAGCCGUGGGGAAUAUUGCACAAUGGGCGCAAGCCUGAUGCAGCCAUGCCGCGUGUAUUAAGAAGGCCUUCGGGUUGUAAAGUACUUUCAGCGGGGAGGAAGGGAGUAAAGUUAAUACCUUUGCUCAUUGACGUUACCCGCAGAAGAAGCACCGGCUAACUCCGUGCCAGCCGCCGCAGUAA